GAUCAUAUUGAUAGAAUGAGACAUGAGAAUGUUCAUUGGAGGUAUGACUUGAGGAGUGCAAGAUUUAAGAGUACUUCUGAUGUACCUAGUAGUUCGUGCAAAAGAAAGCUGAAUCGACAUGAUGGAAGGAAAGAUGAGCACAUGAACAGAAACAAUGUAGUGAGGAGUCCAACCAUCCAAAGUAGUUCCAUUCAGCAAAAAUGGAUUACCAAGAGCAAGUAUAAUAUAACUCAUGGGCACAAAAAUAAGAAGAGGACGGAAGCAACGCUAAAUUUUGGAAGUCGGGUAAGUUGUGUGCUUUGUAAUAUAAGACUACUAGUACUACAAAAUCUAGCCAAUAUUCUCAAUCGAUGUUUUUG